GGGGAUGUGGCUCAGAGUAGGGCGCUUGCCUCACACAUGUGAGGCCCUGGGUUCGAUCCCCAGCAUCACAU
rnacentral:tRNA from 1 species